GGUUGAGAACGUCUGAUCUAUGUACAUCAGCUACCUCCUUGCAGUUUGCAAAGGGGAUUGCAGAGGCAAAGCUAGACUAGGUCUUGGAGGCUGGUGUAAGGCGGUGCGCGGAAGGCAGGACGCUGAUGGGAGAGACUGGUCGAAGAAAAGCCGAAAUGGAUUCUCCGUGCUUUGGAUGGAGAAAGAGGGGGGAAGUGCGAGCUCCUUCAACUCGUUCUGUCCGGUGAGGAGUGAUCCAGCUUGGGCUGACGAGAGGCUCCGGAGCCUUCACGUUCAGUGCUUUUUACCUGCCAAUCAAACUGCUACAAGACAACACCCUGAUCUGGCAUGGUCGCCGCGGGUCCAAGCCUGUAGUCCCAAAUCGGAAAAUCUCUGCAGCUGGUACACGCAAAAGAGAAGCCAGGCAACAGACAUAUUACAGAAGAAAGCUCUCGACUCCGAGAUCGAACCUAGAAAUUGUACUUUCCUCAAGAUCCGCUUAAGAGAAUCUGGCUGA
rnacentral:lncRNA from 1 species